AAAUAGUCCUGAUUGUAGCGACAUCCUUUUUUGCCGUUAAGGUAAAAAAGAUACAGCGGAAAGCGGGGCUGGCA
rnacentral:sRNA from 1 species